GAUGAAGAACGCAGCGAAAUGCGAUACGUAAUGUGAAUUGCAGAAUUCAGUGAAUCAUCGAGUCUUUGAACGCACAUUGCGCCCCCUGGUAUUCCGGGGGGCAUGCCUGUCCGAGCGUCAUUGCUGCCCUCAAGCACGGCUUGUGUGUUGGGCCUCCGUCCUCCUCCCGGGGGACGGACCCGAAAGGCAGCGGCGGCACCGCGUCCGGUCCUCGAGCGUAUGGGGCUUCGUCACCCGCUCUUGUAGGCCCGGCCGGCGCUUGCCGACACAUCAAUCUUUUUUCCAGGUUGAACUCGGAUCAGGUAGGGAUACCCGCUGAACUUAAGCAUAUCAAUAAGCGGAGGA
rnacentral:misc_RNA from 1 species